GGGCCCGUAGCUCAGCGGUCAGAGCCACCGGCUCAUAACCGGGUGGUCCCAGGUUCGAAUCCUGGCGGGCCCACCA
rnacentral:tRNA from 1 species